GACGAACGCUGGCGGCGUGCCUAAUACAUGCAAGUAGAACGCUGAAGAGAGGAGCUUGCUCUUCUUGGUUGAGUUGCGAACGGGUGAGUAACGCGUAGGUAACCUGCCUUGUAGCGGGGGAUAACUAUUGGAAACGAUAGCUAAUACCGCAUAACAAUGGAUGACACAUGUCAUUUAUUUGAAAGGGGCAAUUGCUCCACUACAAGAUGGACCUGCGUUGUAUUAGCUAGUAGGUGAGGUAAUGGCUCACCUAGGCGAGGAUACAUAGCCGACCUGAGAGGGUGAGCUGCCACACUGGGACUGGGACACGGCCCAGACUCCUACGGGAGGCAGAAGGAGGGAAUCUUCGGCAAUGGGGGCAACCCUGACCGAGCAACGCCGCGUGAGUGAAGAAGGUUUUCGGAUCGUAAAGCUCUGUUGUAAGUCAAGAACGGGUGUGAGAGUUGAAAGUUCACACUGUGACGGUAGCUUACCAGAAAGGGACGGCUAACUACGUG
rnacentral:rRNA from 1 species